rnacentral:rRNA from 1 species
UGCCAGCAGCCGCGGUAAUACAUAGGGGUCAAGCGUUGUCCGGAUUUACUGGGCUUAAAGAGUUCGUAGGUGGUUGAAAAAGUUGGUGGUGAAAUCCCAGAGCUUAACUCUGGAACUGCCAUCAAAACUUUUCAGCUAGAGUAUGAUAGAGGAAAGCAGAAUUUCUAGUGUAGAGGUGAAAUUCGUAGAUAUUAGAAAGAAUACCAAUUGCGAAGGCAGCUUUCUGGAUCAUUACUGACACUGAGGAACGAAAGCAUGGGUAGCGAAGAGGAUUCGAUA